AGUGGUUAGGUGUACGUAAAAAAUAAAAAACCGGUCUCAUGCUGAAGCACAUUUGGCCUAAAUUGGAGGAAAUAUUACUGCAGACUUGCAUUGAAGAAGCGAUGACUUGCUAUUUCUUAUUGAGGGGCAUUUUUUGCACAGCUCCUGGAGGCAGGUACAGGUUCAAUAAAAAGGACCUAAAUUGGAGGAAAUAUUACUGCAGACUUGCAUUGAAGAAGCGAUGACUUGCAGUUGCUUAUUAAGGGGCGAUUUUUGCACAGCUCCUGGAGGCAGGUACAGGUUCUAUAAAAAGGAUCUGGCUUAUAUCCUGCUGGCAGCGCAUUUCACCAACAACACCGCGAAAUAAUUUGGAAAACGCAAAAGGGUCAAGCCUUACAUAUGGACAUGGUUCUUAAGCUCUUAAUCGUCAGGAUUAAAUAGAAUCCCUGGGCUAUUUCAAGUGUAUAGAAAGAUCCCCAGGACAAACCGUCAAGGCAAUAAAAAUGUUGCCCAAGGUGGUGGGAAAACCAUCUGUUCGCCAGGAUUCCGAUAGCUUCUUGAGUCUAGUCUUCGCAUAUGAGCAGAAAAGGG